UUUGUUUCUAUAUUCAAAUUAAGUUUUUUUGUUGUUUUUUUCUUACUUUUACUAGCUUUGUUAAAUUGUUGGCUGGCCAUGGUUUUUGUUAAACAAAUGUUGUUUUAUUUAAUUCAGUUAAAUCAGUUUUUUCCUUCAAAUCCUUUGGGUUUUCUAUAUAGACUGAUGACUGAAAUCUGACAUGCUUGAUUUUAUGCAAUUGUAUGUGCUAAAUAAGUGUAUGUACAGGUGUAAAGGCAUGAAACAAUGUGCUUCUAUCUAUAUUCUUUGUGUUUAUAUAUACUAGAGUCUGUGGUUAUUAUAGUAUGCAUAAUCUAUAGGGUGCCAGUACAAGCUAGCCUAGAGGUGCCAGAUUAGCUCAGGAUACUGUGGGCAACUUAUCUGGUAAUAUGAUUUCUACCUAGAUUUCUGACUAAUGACAUGUUGAUUUGAGGAUUCUUGAGCCACUAGAAAUAGGAUUGUACUUCUUGAAUGUUGGGUACCAAUCACAAGUGUAGGUAUAAGCAAAGUAUCUAGAUUAUAGGCUUUAUAGGGUUGCACUAGAACUCAUUAUACAGGCCAGAACUGAGAAAGUCACACAUGCUAGUCAGACAUCAAGUCAGAAACAAUUUAAUUGGUAGAUAAUGUCACUUCCAGUCCAUGCAGGUGGAUUUAUUUGGGUUUUUUGUUCAUUUCAGUCCUCUCUCUGUGCACCCCUGUAUCAGAUGCAACUACCUGAAACUAAGAAAUCAAUGAACUUCAACAUUUCAGGUGAAAGACCUAUAGUAUUAUUUUUCAGGUAGUUGCAUGAUACAUUCAAGCCUUUAAAUAGUGUGGUGGCUUAAGCUACUUUUCUCAUUUCCUUUCUUCACUUUCUUACUUUUUUGUCUCUAGUGAAAACUUCAUUUUACAACAUUUUAAUUAUAUAAUCUCUUUUUGGUCUAAUUGCAGAAUUAUUUGAUGGUGAGACAGUUCAUAGUUCAACUUCUUUAUUAAAGAAUUAUCAAUUAUUAGAAAUAAUUAAUUUAGUUAGCAGUGAUAAAACUAUCCAGACAAGUUAUUAUUGUGACUUUGUAGCCAGAUGGGUAUGAUUUUGCUUUGGCUGUUCAGCAUUUUGAUCCAUUGUGAUAUGUCUUGUGGUACCUGUGAAUGAUUUUACCUGCAAAAUGAAUGACAGAAUAUCAGAAUGUAACAUUACAUUAAGAUACAUCCUUACACUGCAAUAAAAUUAUGUAAUACUAGAUGGUCAGUGUGAAGAAUAUGGUCUUUGACACUCUUUGUAUAUAAUAAACAUGCUAUUGUGUAAUGGAAAUGAUCAAAUAAAGUUAUUUCUGCAACAGCCCUUGCAUUCAAACACCUUAUUUGUAUUUUUCUUGUUCAUGCUUGAGCAUCAGCCUCAGGAUAAGCAAAUUCCAUUG